CCUACGGGAGGCAGCAGGGGGGAAUAUUGGACAAUGGGCGGAAGCCUGAUCCAGCAACGCCGCGUGAGGGAUGACGGCCUUCGGGUUGUAAACCUCUUUCACCAUUGACGAAGUUGCCUGUUUUUGCAGGUGGUGACGGUAGGUGGGGAAGAAGCACCGGCCAACUACGUGCCAGCAGCCGCGGUAAUACGUAGGGUGCGAGCGUUGUCCGGAAUUAUUGGGCGUAAAGGGCUCGUAGGCGGUUUGUCGCGUCGGGAGUGAAAACCAUGGGCUUAACUCAUGGCUUGCUUUCGAUACGGGCAGACUUGAGGUAUGCAGGGGAGAACGGAAUUCCUGGUGUAGCGGUGAAAUGCGCAGAUAUCAGGAGGAACACCGGUGGCGGAGGCGGUUCUCUGGGCAUGAUCUGACGCUGAGGAGCGAAAGUGUGGGGAGCGAACAGGAUUAGAUACCCUGGUAGUCCACACCGUAAACGUUGGGCGCUAGGUGUGGGAUCCACUCUACGGUCGUCGCGCNGCUACGCAUAGCGCCCGCCGUCGGGAGGUACGGCCGGCGACGGACGUAAACCUACGAAACGGAAGUAGACGGCGUGAGACGUCGCCGACGGACGACGACGAGGGAGGUUAGG
rnacentral:rRNA from 1 species